CCACUCACUGAUUGUGAAGUGGUCUUGUAUAUCCUGGUUGGACUGAGCUCGGAGUAUGAUUCUUUUGUCACAAUUGUGACCACACGAAUUGAUCCCAUAUUGCUUGAAGAUCUCUAUGGUCAUCUUCUGACCUUUGAGU